AUUGCAACAGCCUCUUUGAGAGAAAUGAAAGUGAAACUGAGAGAACUGAAAGUUAUGGGAUAAGAAGAGUGUCUGUAGAGGGUGGCUCUGUAUCUAAAGCAACUCCACUAUGAAUUGCAGGAUUUACACGGCAGUUUGUUGCUUCCUGUGCACUGGAAUCCUAAAGCACCAUAAUGGAGUUGCAACAGCAGGUUCAACCUUUAGUCAAAGUAGGCAGCUUUCCUGCUUGUUUGAGACAACUGAAACAAUCCCAUUGUUAAGUGAUUUCAAGUACAUCAGACAGAAUGCCUGGCUCCUGCUGAGUGGAACUGAAUCGAAGGACACCAAGAGACCUCACUCAGAAAAUCCUCCUGCUGCUGAUACCCUCACGUUUAUCGUACAAGAGUCCUCACUGGAUAUUCUCCAACACGUGGAUGAAGAUACUGACAAGCUUGAAUGUAAGAUUAGCAGAUAUUUUACAGAUAACACCCAGAUCCUCUGGCCUGGGUUACAAACUCAACUUCAUAAACUAGAUUCAUGGUUCACUGGCACCAUAAAGCACCUGGAUGACAAAUUCACCGUUACAGUCUUUUUGGUACAAUCAAGUGCCAGCAAAGAGGCAGAGGACCGAAUCCCCGAAGAUGUUUCUCAAGGCAACGCAGAGACGUUUUAUCUUUCAGGUGUAUUCUUGGUACGCACAGGACCCUCUGUAAUCCAGUCUGGCUUGAAUAAGGAUGUCCUCCUCAGCUGUGCUUUCUCAGUCGAUCACAACACAGAUGUCACCAUCAAAUGGAUAUUACAGCAGAAAGGGGGACACAAAAAGCUGAUAUUUGCCUAUAAUGGAUCUACCAGGCAGGUGGAACACAAGGAUAAACGGGCUGAGAUGUUCCUAGCAGAGAUCCCUAAGGGGAAUGCUUCUCUCUUACUAAGAACAGUGGGAGUAAGAGAUGCAGGAACCUAUUCUUGCCAAAUAUUGGUGUCGUCAGUUCUCUGGGCACAGAAUAUCCAGCUGGAAAUAGUAGAAAAGCCCACGGUGACCCUGAACGCUGCUGUCCUGUCUCUGGUGGAAGGAGAUGAACACAAGCUGGUCUGUGACAUCAGUCACUUUUACCCUCAUGAUGCCGAGGCUCAGUGGUUUCAGGAACCAAUGCAGCAGGGGAUGCUCCCACAUGUGGUGACUCACGUUGUCUCUAGUAGUCACAGGCAGAACAGCGAUGGGACUUACAGCUUCUCCAGUUACUUCCUGCUUAAGGCCUCCCUCAGGGACGAUGGGCGUCGGUACACCUGCCGGGUGGAACACCAAAGCCUAAAGCACCCAAUCAAGAAAAGCCUGACGGUGAAAGUGACAGAAUCUACCUCAGCAACUUGGCUCCUUGUCAUCCUAUUCGUCGUCCUUGCUGGGUGUCUUGUUGUGAUGUUGUAUUUUCUUUACCAAGGGAUGAGCACCAAUAAGCCAAAGCCUUACUAGAGCAUGAGACCGUUCAAUCCAGUCAGGACCUGCUGCUCCCUAGCUGAGGAAUGAAUCACAACACAGAGAGUGGAAAGAAAGAACGUGUGCUGGAUCUGCACCAGGAGCUCUAGAUGGUGUUUCUCCAAACAUACACUUUGGAGCCAUUUACACUUGUACAAGCUACUGCGGUGGGAGUGGAGAAUUCUGAUUUGCACAAGUUGUAAAGGAAUGAAAAGUUGAGCCUGGUCUGGAUUUUUUUGUACUGCUAUGAAUGUUGUUUAGUGCUGAAGCUUCAGGAACACUUUACCAGUCAUGUGGCCUCCAGACAACAUCAGGAGGGAAGGAUCUGGGACAUUGCAACUGAAUUUCCAAACUACAGGGAUUUAAACGAGGCCUUAUGCGUUUCAGUGACAAUCCAAUUUCAUGCCUGGCACAGGGAGAACGUUUGUAAGGGCUCAAAGGUUGGUGGAAUCCAGGUAAGCUAUGCCAGGUCGUUACUGUAAUGUGCAUGUUUUAGACUAAUUGAAUACUUAUUUUCCCUUCUUCCAUGUGGUUUGAUUAGUAGUAGGGACCAAUCUUAUUUCAAGGUAUCACCCUAAAUUACUUAUGAUGAGCCUUGAAGGGAGGGGGCUCUGCUUCAAAAAAGUACUCUAGUGAAAUAAAUUCACCUCUGGAAAAAAAAAAAGAGAGAACACGAGGGCCAGCUUCUCAAUUGGUAUAACUCUAGCACUGAACUUCAGGGAUUUCUACCAGCUGAAGGUCUGCCCACCAUGUUGACUGAGACCUGGCCUACCCAUAUUGUAUAAAGCACCUUUCUACCUAUAUAACCGGCCAUGUCACAUGAGGGGCAGGUACCACUCUGAUGCCAGUAUUGUUAAAGCAUUACAGCUUCUGCCUGGAAGCAAACCCAUAGACAAUCUACAGGGCACUGGUAUUCAACAGCUUGUCACUUGCAGGUGCUCUUAACCAAAGGGGCAAAAAGUCAUCACUUCUUGUUCAUCUUAAAGUUUUAUGGAGCUUACUGUUGUAAAGAGACAUGAUGCCUGAAAAUGGCACUAUGUGUUAGUAAUGAACUUUGUGGUUUUUGUAAAGUAAAUAAUUCACAACAUUAAAAAGAGAGAAAUACCCAAUUUGAGGUCAACUCAGAUCACGAUAAGCAAGGGCACUCAUUCAUUGUUUUAACAUUGAAUUAAGGCACUGGCCAUUUAUAGCGUUUAGCAGCUGGAAUGGAUAGCUUCAGUGUCAGAUUUUAAACGGCCAAGUACCCACUUCAGUCAAGCAUGUGCGUAAAGCUAAGUUUAAAGUUCCAUUGCAUUCAAUGGGACAUAAGUACAUGCUUAAAUGGUUUGCUGAAUUGGUCCCAAAUUCUGUUCUCAAAGUAAAUCAGGAGUAACUCUACUGAAGUUACACCAGUAUAAAUGAACAAAAUUUGGCCUACGGUGUGUUGGAACAAUUUUUCAUUUUGAAAAAGUGUGUUACCAACUAUAUUAAGAGCGUCAGGUGAUGGAAAUUGGCGAUAGCAAUCAGUGGAUGUAUGCCAGUUUCAAUUUACAAAGUGAGGAUCUGGCUUAUAUGGUUUAGCCAUUCAUUUACAUUUGCUCUCCCAUAGGGCCUGAUUCUGAUCUCAUACACUGCUGUAAAGCAGGAGUAACUCCAUUGUAGUUCAUGGAAGUAAACCGGCAUAAAAUCACAUAAGGGAGAUCACAAGCAACCCUUGCAGGGUGCAGUUUAAGCCAAGUGCUUUAUCAGUGCACAUAAAUCCUGGUACGCUUACAGGCACAAAAUAUGUUAUUUAUUGUGAACUUUGCAAAGACACAAUUAAGCAACAAAAUAUACAUUUUUGAACCUUUAGAAUUAGUUUUUAUACAUAACAAAUACAAUAUGCUACCAUAGCAAUAAAUUAAAUGUACAUUAUUUACACAAACAUAGGUAACCAGAAACUCUACAAAGCAUCACCUCUCUACAAAAAAAUAAUUUUUUUGUCAGAUACAUUUCAUUAAGAAUUUUUUUCUACACGGUUACCUCUCGUCACAUUCUAAUGUUUAGAAAACCCUUUGCAGGAUUUUAUACAGUACUACAUUCAUGACAAAAAAAAAAAAAACCUGAAAGCAUGCUUUAAGAUUUGGAAAAAAAAAGAAACCUUUAACUAUUUAAAAAUGAAACAGAAUUUUGAACGUAAGCCCCAUGAAUCGAGGUGCUGAGCCCCCACAAUGUCCAUUGACUUCAAUGGCAGUUGUAUGUGCCUCUCACAAUCAGGCCCAAAGAUCGCUGAAAAAUCUUUGGCACAGAUCCUCAGCUGGUGUUAAUGUGUCCAUUUACACCAGCUCGCUGUUUGGCCCUUCAUCGCUACAUUAACCAAAGCCCUAGUUCAGAAAAGCAGUUAAAUAUUUGCUUAAGUACACCCCUGUUCAACAAAGCACUUUAAGGGCUCUGCUUUCUGUGGAGUUCAGUGAGACUUAUGCAGGAAAGCACUUACGUACAUGUAAGUUUGCAUACACAGCUGCAAACCAAUCCCCUUCCUGCUAUUGAGAGGCAGGACAAAAUUCUCCAUUCCAUUCCGCACUUGAGAUUUCCUGUCUGCAAUGUGGGAUUGAUUGCAUAUGAUAUACUUGGGAUGGGGUUUUCAGAGGCUCAGCAAUUUAGGAGCACAAGCCCCAUAGACUUUCAAUUUGACUCCUGCUGUUAACUCCCUUAGAAGCUUUUGAAAAUCCCCCUCUUCUUCUCUGCCUAGAGUCCCCAGUGCUCUCUGUGGAAGUUCCAGGCAGGUAACAAGUGCAGGAUGUGCUGCAGAUUAGAGAAGAGAACUUCUUGCCCUUAGGGCUCAAAUAAGUGGUGGAAAAGUUAAAGCAUAAAAUAAAAUGACCCCCAACUGGAAGACCAGGCCUUCAUUGAAGUCAGUGGAGCUAUGCUGUUUUACACCAGCUGAGGAUCUGGCCCAGAAUGUCUUAUUUGGAAAUUAAAUAAAUAUACAGUGUUUGCACUUCCAUCGUACCCAUGUUAAUACAGUAAAAUCAGUGCAAGAAGGUAAGACAGACCCUAGAACACUGUCCCAUAGAAAUCUCUCUUUUUUGUGGACCAUGUGAAGAAUGACACAAAUAUCUUGUUUCUGCUUUCUGAAUCCCCAUUUUUCACUCACACUGGAAAAGUGCACUGUCUGAGAAUUUAGUGUAUUAACUAGAACUACUGAGGUUUUCGUCUAAUGUAGUUCUUGUCAUCCUGAAGCACUCUGCAAUAUAUACUGAUGUGUAGAUGCCUCCUAGGUGUAGCACAGGAAGUGAAGAAUACUGUCCCUCCCUUAAAACGAAUGUAAGUAGACAAAGUAAUUCUAUGGGAAUGUGGCUAGGACAGCAGCAUUAAAACCCCUACUCUUGUAAAAUGCUCCACAGGAUCUUUAAUGAUCACAAGUGGUGAGGGGGGUAAAAAGUAUCUAAGACUCAUCAAGCUUAAAUUCGUGACAUGUUUGGGUACUUUUGAAAACUUGACCUUAAGUCUCCAUCUCCUCUGAAAUUCUGUGGGAGUGGUAUUGUGAAGAUGAGUCCACUUUGCUCUAUUUCUCUCAUAUAUUUUCAAACUUUCCCAUCGACAUUGCUUUGAAUCACAUUCAAACAACUUUUACUGAAAGUCACAGUCUCUAAUGAAAUACCCCAAGAUGACAUGUCUUAUGCCAAAAGAUUUUACAGAGAUCAGCACUUAAGAUAAAGGUGACUUCUGUAGAAUCAAAGCAGCCCGUUGAAAUACCAAAAAAACCUCAAAGCAAAAGUAAAAAAAAAAAAAAAAGCUACCAGGUGACAUUUUGGUAUAUGGCUUCAAGAAAUUGAUCAAACACUAUCUAAGUGAAAGAGUGAAGAAAAUAUGUAAAAGUUGCUGCCCUGGCACACAAAUAUGAGCUUUUAAAAUGUUUUGAACCUGAGACAUCUGUACCUAUCUAUACAUACUGCUGCAAAACAGGACUUAAGAGACAGUGCUUUUUCCUUAUUUAAACAAAAUAUUCAUUUUUAAUAUUUAAAUUCUAUUCGGGGAAAGUAUUCUGAAUUUUGGUUAGUUGUUACUAGUAUUUCAUUCUGCAGAGAGCAGUACUUUUUAAAGAAAAACUGUCUGUUCUCAGAGAAAAUAAUCAAUAAAAUUUGUCUAUUGCCCUUUA